GCUCUAAUAGCGUAUAUUAAAGUUGUUGCAGUUAAAAAGCUCGUAGUCGGAUGUCGGGCCUAGGCGGGCUGUUGGCCUCUGGUCGAACGGCAAGCUUGGGUCUUUUUGCCUGUGGGCCCCGUCACUCUUAACUGAGGGGCGGGUGAACGCAGGUCGUUACUUUGAAAAAAUUAGAGUGUUCAAGCAGGCCUACGCUUGAA
rnacentral:rRNA from 1 species